GGAGGGUGCAAGCGUUAUCCGGAAUCAUUGGGCGUAAAGCGUCCGCAGGCGGUCUAUUUAGUCAAAUAUUAAAUCUUGGAGCCCAACUUCGAGGCUGUGUUUGAAACUGAUAGACUAGAGACUUUCAGAGGUGUGCAGAAUUCUGUGUGUAGGGGUAAAAUCCGUAGAUACACAGAGGAAUACCAAAAGCGAAGGCAGCACACUGGGGAAGUUCUGACGCUCAUGGACGAAAGCGUGGGUAGCGAACGGGGGAUUAGAUACCCCGGUAGUCCACGCCGUAAACGAUGGAUACUAGGUGUUGGAGGGCUCGACCCCCCUUCAGUGCCGACGCUAACGCAUUAAGUAUCCCGCCUGGGGAGUACGAUCGCAAGAUUA
rnacentral:rRNA from 1 species